rnacentral:rRNA from 1 species
UACGGGGGGGGCAAGCGUUGUUCGGAAUUACUGGGCGUAAAGGGCUCGUAGGUGGCCAACUAAGUCGGACGUGAAAUCCCUCAGCUUAACUGGGGAACUGCGUCCGAUACUGGAUGGCUUGAGUUUGGGAGAGGGAUGCGGAAUUCCAGGUGUAGCGGUGAAAUGCGUAGAUAUCAGGAGGAACACCAAUGGCGAAGGCAGCACUCUGGGACGUGACUGACGCUGAGACGCGAAAGCGUGGGGAGCAAACAGG